rnacentral:rRNA from 1 species
AUUGAACGCUGGCGGAAUGCUUUACACAUGCAAGUCGAACGGCAGCACGGGGGCAGCCCUGGUGGCGCGUGGCGAACGGGUGAGUAAUACAUCGGAACGUGCCCGGUCGUGGGGGAUAACGUAGCGAAAGUUACGCUAAUACCGCAUACGAUCUGAGGAUGAAAGCGGGGGACCUUCGGGCCUCGCGCGAUCGGAGCGGCCGAUGUCAGAUUAGGUAGUUGGUGGGGUAAAGGCCUACCAAGCCGACGAUCUGUAGCUGGUCUGAGAGGACGACCAGCCACACUGGGACUGAGACACGGCCCAGACUCCUACGGGAGGCAGCAGUGGGGAAUUUUGGACAAUGGGCGCAAGCCUGAUCCAGCCAUUCCGCGUGCAGGACGAAGGCCUUCGGGUUGUAAACUGCUUUUGUACGGAACGAAAAGGCUCUGGCUAAUACCUGGGGCUCAUGACGGUACCGUAAGAAUAAGCACCGGCUAACUACGUG